CCACUGGUUUGUUUCUGCUACCCCAUUCUUUCUCAUUCUUUCAAUUUUAACAACCCACCUUAGGUCACCACAAUUACCACCUAUUUCUUCACAAAUUACAAAUUAAGGUUGGUUAAUCAAUGAGUACUCUUUUUGUAUAGAUUACAAGAAUAAGUUAAACAUUAAUUAGGGUUUGCUCCAAUUUUCGUUUUUUUUUUUUUUUAAAAGUCUGAGUGAAAUUGCAGAGUUCUAAAAUUAAGAUCUAUCAAAUUUCUGCAUUCUAGCAUCUUUUGCUAUCUGUUAUUUACAUAAGUGAUUAUGAGAAUUGACGUUAGAUUAUUGAGAAAAAUCUGCACUUGAACCUUUUUAUUGGCCUUUAAUUGAAAACAUUUAAAAGCAACAUUAUCUAAUAAUAAUGUUUAUGUUAUUGUGUAUUAUAGGGGCAAGGAUGUUAGUGGUGAAAACUUACAUCAAGGUUAUACUCAUGUAUUUGAAUCAACCUUUGAGAGUGUGGAAGGCAUUGCAGAGUAUGUAGCUCAUCCUACCCAUGUUGAGUAUGCUAAUUUGCUCCUUCCCUCUUUGGAAAAAGUGCUUAUAAUUGACUAUAAGCCCACCUUCGUUAAUCUUUAAUCUUUGAUCGGAUCACUAAUGGAAUAUUCUGUUCAAAAUAAAUUUGGGGGCAAACAAUUUCAUGGAUGAUGAUGGUGUCUCUUAUUGUAUUGGUUCUGCUGUUUUUUUUUUUUUUUUUUGGAAAAAGUGCUUAUAAUUGACUAUAAGCCCACCUUCGUUAAUCUUUAAUCUUUGAUCGGAUCACUAAUGGAAUAUUCUGUUCAAAAUAAAUUUGGGGGCAAACAAUUUCAUGGAUGAUGAUGGUGUCUCUUAUUGUAUUGGUUCUGCUUUUUUUUUUUUUUUUUGUUAAAAAUAAACCAAUUAAAUUCC
rnacentral:lncRNA from 1 species